UGUGUAGGCGGUUCUUUAAGUUUGCUGUGAAAUCUCCCGGCUUAACCGGGAGGGUGCGGUGAAUACUGAGGGACUAGAGUACGGGAGAGGAAAGUGGAAUUCCUGGUGUAGCGGUGAAAUGCGUAGAUAUCAGGAGGAACACCGGUGGUGUAGACGGCUUUCUGGACCGACACUGACGCUGAGACACGAAAGCGUGGGUAGAAC
rnacentral:rRNA from 1 species